AGAAAGAAACAAGAACUAGGUCCAGUAUAAAGAAGCCUCUCAAAGCAAGUUAAGCAAUACAACAAGCCACAUGCAAAAGCAGUAUGGUAAUAAGAUUUGUACAAAGUAAAAUUGCAACAACACCUCGUAUCACAUCUCCACUACAAUAACACAAACCCUUCUACCCAAUCUCCACCACAUCAAGAAUAAGUCUCAGGCUCAACUAGGUGUUACACAUCCAUUUUAGACAUGGAAAACAACAUCCACUACUCCUAUAGCAAUUGUGCAAUGCAUAAAGGAUAAUUUAAAGAUUCAAUG
rnacentral:misc_RNA from 1 species